CGCGCAGGUGGUUCGUUGCGUCCGAGGUGAAAUCUCCCGGCUCAACUGGGAGGGGUCUUCGGAUACGGGCGGACUUGAGGAGAGCAGAGGUAGGCGGAAUUCUGGGUGUAGUGGUGAAAUGCGUAGAUAUCCAGAGGAACACCAGUGGCGAAGGCGGCCUACUGGGCUCCACCUGACACUGAGGCGCGAAAGCGUGGGGAGCGAACCGGAUUAGAUACCCGGGUAGUCCACGCCGUAAACGAUGGGCACUAGGUGUGAGGGGUAUUGACCCCCUUCGUGCCGUAGCUAACGCGUUAAGUGCCCCGCCUGGGGAGUACGGCCGCAAGGCUAAA
rnacentral:rRNA from 1 species